AUAAUUUUCCACAAAGAAGACAGUGAUAGCGUCGAAAGAUCUACAAGAACAGCCAAGAAAAGCAAAUAAUAGGGGAAAAUAUUUAAAGGAUGGGAUUUAAGAAGAAGCACAAAAAACACAAAUCUGAAAAACGCUACGAAGACGAUGAGCCACCACCAGAGAAGGAAAUACAUGGAGGUGGAAUACGUCUUAAACUGAAGGUCAGCGGAGAAGUUUAUAGUCCACUUCAUGACGCAGCCAGCACAUCAGGAGAGAAAAAACACAAGCACAAAAAGAAGAAAAAGAAGAAGAAGGCUGAGAAAGAAAAGCGCAGACAUGCAGAGGCCUCUAUUCAAGAAACGCCCAAAAGACCUAGACCAGAAUCGGAGGAAGAGGAGGCUUCUCAGGAAGAAGAGGUGGAGCCACCAGCAAAGAAACCUGCUCUGGAGGAAAAGAUUGUAGAACCAAUCAGGGAGGAGCCUCGUACAGUUGGUCGUCCAAGGAAGCAGGAAGAGCAUGGCGUUCUUCGUAUCUGUUUGAAACACAUACACAAGAUGCUGCAAAAGAAGGAUGUGAAUGGAUUUUUUGCUUACCCUGUCAAUGACAUGAUUGCCCCAGGCUACUCCAGCAUCAUUCUGCACCCCAUGGAUCUAAGUACCAUGAUGUCUAAGAUUGACAGCGAUCAGUAUAGAAAUGUUGUAGAGUACAAGAAGGAUUUUGUGUUGAUGUGCAAUAAUGCUAUGACGUACAACAGACCAGAAACAAUUUACUACAGGGAAGCAAAAAAACUGCUAAGUAGUGGGAUGAAACUUAUGUCAAAGGAAAAACUAAUUAACAUGAAGCGGACACUGCCAUUCUUGGCCAGUAUGACGUAUGCAGAGCUCGGACACCAAACCAGUCAAUAUUGACAUCAACUCACUGAAGAGUCUGGGAGAUCUUGGGGUGGACGUGUCUUUCCUGGAUGACUUUGAGAAGAUAACCUCACAACCUAAGAAGGACCCAGUUCAGGAGAGACUGGACCAGACGGCCAGUCUGAUUAACGACCUACAGGCCACUCAGAAGGAACGCCUCAGUGCCAAGCUCCCCACACAUCUGGCCCACGUACCAGGGCCAUCAGAAAAAGAAAUUCAGCUGGCCCAGAAAGUGACACAAGAACUCAAAGAGUUGGCCAAAGGGGUAUCACCAGCAGAUAUUUCAUCAGUUCAGGGACUAAGGUCAGCCAUGGGCAUUACCCUCCAACCAAUCAAAUCAGAGCCAGUGGAGGAUGCUACUGAGUCUGAAUCAACAACCAAUCAGAACUCACAGAGCACAGACAUUGGUCAUGUGACUAACAACACCGCAGCAACAACCAAUCAAGCAGACUCUAACAAUGUAGUUUCGGGACCUCAGCUAGAUGAUGAUUCUAUGGACACAGACAUUAGUGAAUUUUUACAAUUUCCCUCACAAUGAUUCAGCUAAGUGACCUAUUCUGUGAAGGUAUUCCCAAGUAACCUGUAUCCACAGCUCCCGAAGUGUAUGGUCAGUCAAAAGACUGUGGCAACAGCCCACCCUCAGUCAGUGUUGUUCUCAUCUACUGGUGCUCUCAUUACAUCACUUGUGCUUAGAUUUUUUUAUUCAUGUGAAAAUGUGUUGUUCGUCAAUGAAUAUAAACAGAUAGAUUUGAAUUUCAUACAUCAUUACAUUUGAUAAAUCUCUCUAAAAUCUGUAGAUGCAAAAUAAAUGCAUUUAAUGAUGAAAAAAAUUGAUAUGAUAAAUAUGGUACAAAAAAGAUU
rnacentral:misc_RNA from 1 species